rnacentral:rRNA from 1 species
UACAGAGGUCUCAAGCGUUGUUCGGAUUCAUUGGGCGUAAAGGGUGCGUAGGCGGCGGGGUAAGUCAGGUGUGAAAUCUCGGGGCUCAACUCCGAAACUGCAUUUGAUACUGCCUUGCUAGAGUACUGGAGAGGAGAUUGGAAUUUACGGUGUAGCAGUGAAAUGCGUAGAUAUCGUAAGGAAGACCAGUGGCGAAGGCGAAUCUCUGGACAGUUACUGACGCUGAGGCGCGAAAGCGUGGGGAGCAAACAGG